CCGGCAGUGGUGGCUCUGGACGAGCAUUCACCUGGUGUUUGUUAGAGAUGCCGCUUCGCUGGCCCCACCCCAGAUGCCGCACCAGGAGCUCAGAAAGAAGCCAAAUAAAGCCAUGAGCCUGAUCAGUGACACAGACGACAGGGGACUCUGGAAGACUCAGGGUCCCGGGCCUGUCAGCGUGUGGGCUCAUCCCAGAAUGUCCGCGACCCCUGCCGGCUGCAGGCCUAGGUGGAGGUGCCUGUCCCUCUCUCCAGAACUGCGCAGAUGAACUUCCAAAAGCACUCUGGUCAUAUUGCUGACUAGGUUUGAGAUCUGCAGUUCCUGACGGCCUCAGAAUCAUCCAGCUUGAAAUCAAUUGUUGCAAAAUGCUCCAUUUAUAGUCGACUGUCCAGUUAGCAUUCGAUCAAUAGUGAGAACUUCUCUUUCUUCCUCCUGCAUUCCUCACACUCCCAGCCGGGUCUUCUGGACUGAGAUAACACCUGCUCUUAGCAGAGUGUCAUCAAGCGGGUUCUAUUACGUCCCGACACGUUCGCUCUGCGUGUCUGUGAAGCUCUGGGCUCGCCUGUAGGACUCGUUCCCGUCCACACGGACUAUGAAUAGCCUGCCUUUCGCGUUAUGUUUGUCCCUUACUGCCCUGAGUACCCUCCCAUUCCCGACUGGCAGGCUGGGACCAGCCACGCAAGAGGGCUGCCUGCUGUUGAGGCUCAGCGCAGUGGAGUCGGCCGACAUCAGAGCAGUCGGGGCUCCCUAAGAGAAGACUGGUGCUUCCUGGGCUCUCACCACACGGCCUUGGACGGCACAGCCGCGGCUUUCUCCGGCAGGGCUGAAGCAGGCGAGGGCGUGAGCCACCUUGCUGAGGUGGAAGUGCUGAGAUUCCGGCCAGGUUAUCAGGAAAGUCAUGGGAUCUUCCUAUGCACAAAUGCGUCAGGACUCCCCGACACCCACUGUGUGAUUUAAGACUGCCUGCAUUGCUAUUGAAAUGAGGGAAGCAAAAGAAGAACAGAACUGAAGGAGGGAGGGGGCCGUUGGCAGGAACGUGAGGCGGAGGGAGAGAUCGGGAGAGGAAGAAAGGCAGGUGGACCUGAGCGUGGGGCAGAGACGGCGCAGCCCUGGCGAGCGGGCACACGCCCGCCGUUGGCGUCCCUUGGCAAGAGCAACUGUCCUGUAAGGAGUGACACUGUGUCCCGCGUGGUCUCCUCCGGCCCUCCCAGCGCAGCGGCGCCCCCUCGUCUGUGAGGAGCCCUGUAGACCGCGCGUCCUAGUCUGACUCGAUCGGAGGAUAGUCCAAACCCUCCCUGAACGGUCUCUAAAGGCUGGCAUUGUGGCUUGUGAAUCUUGUGCUCAGCGGUGUGAAACACCGGAGUUCAUAGCAGGUAGUGGGUCGUCCAUACGUGCUCCUUUGAAAGAUCCCGUCUUUGACAAACACGCACUGUUUCCUGCGCUUUUCGUAACACCCUCAAAUACACAUGUCCACUGUCAUAGCGACCCUGCGAGGUGGGACUGUCAUCACCCUCCCCACAGAAGGCACAACCAGUGCCUCCCCCGGGAGGUCGCAGCCUCAUCAGCGGGGGCUUGGCUCUCGUCCUCUGACCCCCGUGCUGUCCUCAUCCGUGUAUAACUCAGCACUUCCCUGGGCGUCCCCGCUUGUGAGCCAAGCAGGGUGUCACUAUCUACUAUGGACCAUCAGUCACCCAACCGAAUCGAACCCCGCGUUCAAAGCCCUGCCUGGCUGGACGCGCUGUCACCGAGCAGGUGGUCUUGGCUA